rnacentral:rRNA from 1 species
AUUGAACGCUGGCGGUAGGCCUAACACAUGCAAGUCGAACGAGUGGCGGACGGGUGAGUAAUGUCUGGGAAACUGCCCGAUGGAGGGGGAUAACUACUGGAAACGGUAGCUAAUACCGCAUACCAUCAGAUGUGCCCAGAUGGGAUUAGCUUGUUGGUUGGGUAAUGGCUCACCUAGGCGACGAUCCCUAGCUGGUCUGAGAGGAUGACCAGCCACACUGGAACUGAGACACGGUCCAGAAUCCUACGGGAGGCAGCAGUGGGGAAUAUUGCACAAUGGGCGCAAGCCUGAUGCAGCCAUGCCGCGUGUAUGAAGAAGGCCUUCGGGUUGUAAAGUACUUUAAGCGAGGAGGCGUUACUCGCAGAAGAAGCACCGGCUAACUCCGUGCCAGCAGCCGCGGUAAUAC